ensembl:lncRNA
AUUCGGGAAAUUUUAAUAUAUAAAUUCAAUACAGUUCCAACUAAAAUUCCAACAAGACUUUUCUUGGAAUUAAAUAAAAUGAUCUUAAAAUUCAAUAGAAAAAGAAUGCCAAAGAAUAGCUAAUACAACUGUAAAUAUGUAAGAAAAGAGAAAGUGUGUAUAUGGGGAAGCUUACUAAGUCUUUGGAUUUCCUGUCGUGGCGCAGAGAAAACAAAUCCGACUGGGAACCAUGAGGUUGUGGGUUCAAUCCCUGGACUCGCUCAGUGGAUUAAGGAUCCAGCGUUGCCGUGAGCUGUGGCGUAGGUCACAGAUGCAGUUCAGAUCUGGCAUUGUUGUGGCUGUGGUGUAGGCCGGUGGCUACAGCUCUGAUUAGACCCUAGCCUAGGAAUCUCCAUAUGCCAUGGGUGCAGCCCUAGAAAAACAAUAAAAAAAAAAUCAGUCAUACUACAAAGUUUAUUCAAAUCAACAUGACAUUGUAAUGGUGUAUGAAAAUUAUUUGUGGAAUAAAUAAUUGAUAAUAUUGGAAAUAUCUGGAUGCCAAACUGAUAGUUCAGUUAGGAAAAAGAUAAACUUUUUUUUUAAGUACAGGUGUAACUGGCUACCCAUCUAAAAGAAAAUAAAAGUAGACUACUAUCUUACACUAAAUUCAGAAGUAAAUUGCAAAUGGAUCAAAAUUUCAAUAUGUAAGAGAAAAAUAAUUUAAAACUUCAAGAAAACUGCCUAGGAGAUUUUAUGCAUAAUCCAUGGUUUGGGAAAGUUUUCCUUAAAAGAACAAAGAAACUAUAAAAUAAAAGGCAGGCAUAUUUGACCAUAUAUAAAUACCUUUUUUUGGUAUGGCAAAAGGUACUCAGACAAAGUUAAACAAUGUCUGAGAAAAUGUUUAUGCUGCUAUAUUCUCACAAAGAAUUACUUUCUACACAAAGCACUCUUAAAAACUAAUUAGACAAGGAGUCCCCAUCGUGGCACAGCAGAAACAAAUCCAAUUAGGAACUAUGAGGUUGUGGGUCCGAUCCCUAGCCUCGCUCAGUGGGUUAAGGAUCCAGCGUCGCCAUGAGCUGUGGUGUAGGUCGAAGAUGCGGCUCGCAUCUGGCAUUGCUGUGGCCGUGGUGUAGGCCGGUGGCUACAGCUCUGAUUCGACCCCUAGCCUGGGAACCUCCAUAUGCCGUGCAUGUGGCCCUAAAAAGAGAGAAAGACAAAAAAAAAAAAAAGAGAGAGAGAGAGAGAGAGAUUGGACAAAACCAACAAGUGAAUAGAAAAUUGUACAAAGGAUACAAAUAAACAAUUCACUAGUGAGGAAAGCCAGAAGGCCCAAAAAACAUAUGAACACGGUCAAACUCACUAGAAAUCAGGGAAAUAAAAACGAAAGUAACAAAAUUGCUUGACACCCAUCACACCAGCAAACACAAAAAACAGCAAUAACAAAGUUUCAACUGAUCAAAUGUGGGACAAUUUAAGUAUCUAUAAGAAUCAUAAUUACAGUGGACUGAAACACAGCAAAUAAUUUAAUCCAUGAAUUCACAGUGAUACUAGAAAACAAGUCACCAUUGAAAGACGCUGAAGGAACCAAUUCAUUAUUUUGCAAACUGAUAAAUAACUGGAAAGAAUCAAGUAUUUUUCUUGUCCUAUAUAAAUGAAUUGUACCAUCGGCUAUCCAAAUAGCGGAAGUGAGUAAGUUUUUCUUUAGAGAUGUAGUUUACGUCAUAAUGAAAUAGGAUAGAGUUGGACAGUCAGCAUUUUGUAACCCUAACAGAUCCGGACACAGCGUACCAGCUGUUACUAACAUCACAAAGGGCGAGACAACCAGACAUUAUGUGAGUCCCAGUGGAGAAGCAGACACCAUCUAUGAGUUAUUCUCACUAUAAAGGUCAAACCUGAAUCUGACCAAGCCUCUAGACUCCACUACCAAUUCACAGGAAAUAACCAGGUUGAGGAAAACAUUCUGUUACAACAUAGGGAUGCAAUAUGCAAAAUUCAGACCGUGGGAAAUUCGUGGCUCUGACAACCUGCUUCUUCCAACAAAUGCAAUGUAAGGAAUAAAAAGAUGGAGGGAGAGCCUAUAAAUUAAAAGAGACAUAAAAGUGUAAUCAGUUGCAAAUUGUGGGACUUAUUUGAAUCCCUAUUCAAACAAAAUGUACUGGCUAAGUACUGAAUGAAUAGUUAUUGUUCAUUUUUAGAUAUGAUAAUGAUUUUGUGCUAUUUUAUCUUUAGACAUACAUUUAUAUUUAUAAAUGAAAUAAUACAGUGUCUGGAAUUUACUUUAAAAUAAUACCUAACAGUGGGAAAUGAAUGAGACAGAUCAACAUGGGUGGAUGGUGGUUGAGGCUGCCUGAUGGAAACAUGAGAAGUCAUUAUAAUAAGUGCCUACUUUUGUGCAUGUUUGAAAUUCUCCACAAUAAAAGCACAUACACACACACACACACACACACACACACACACCCAAGCCAUAGUUCCUAUUGCUGAUUCCAUGGUAUGUGUAAAGGCAAUUCUUACACAUUGCUGGCAGAAAUGUAAAGUGUUACAACCUUUUCAGAAGGCAAUUUGGCAAGAUACACUUUAAAAAAUACACACACACACACACACACACACACACACACACAUCCUUUGUCCCAGAAAUUCUACUCCUGGGACCCCAUUCUUUGGAAUAGAAGUAGAAACCCAUGAGGCCACAUAACAGGUAUGUUUACUAUGAAACCAUUCACAGGGGAACUCAAUCUAUAGCCAUCUACAGUCUAGAGCAGAGUUCAAGGACUGGUUCACUCUCCUUCUACUUAACCCUCUUGUGUGUUUUUCUGUUUUACAGAGGCUGGAAAACUAAAGACAUAAUUCCGAGACUCCCUGGAAGCUAGUGUUUUAGAUUAAAUUCUACCAGUCAGAUGUACUAGUGCAGGUCUGACAAAGGCAGGAAGGGUUUGGAGUCAAAAGAGUAGCAGGAUUCUGGAACCAGCAGCUUGGGACCACAACUUCCUGUGGUGGACGCUGUAGUUCCCUGUGGGGGGGUGUUGUGUGGAAGUGUUGUGAGAGUCAUCCUGGAGGCCCAGCCUAGAGCCUGUUACUUGGGUCCAUCUAAUGAUCCUAAAUUUCCUCCAUUAAAUCACUUUCUACUUCAAAUAACUAGUUUGUGUUAUAUACAACUGACCCAAAUUGUUGAAUUAUAGUAUUUUACAUCUUCAUAUCACAGAACAUUAAGCAGCCAUCUAAAAGAAUAAAUUAGAUCCAUAUAAAUGACUUACUAGUCAACUGGAGAGAUUUUCGUAGCUACUUCUAAGUGAGAUAAAAUCAAAAUACAUAAAGAUGGGUAUAAUAUGACCCAUUUUUGCAAAACGAUGACCAACUCCCUGAAAUCUCUAAAAAUACAAAGAUCCAUGCAGGAUUUUAUGAGCAUUGAGGAAAUGCUAGUUAUGUAUGGAGAACAGUACGGGGGUACCUCAGAAAACCAAACAUAGAACUAUCAUAUGAUCCAGCAAUCCCACUCCUGGGCAUAUACCCAGACAAAGCUUUGAUUGAAAAAGAUAAAUGCACCCCUACAUUCACAGCAGCACUAUUCACAAUAAUCAAGACAUGGAAACAACCUAAAUGUCCAAUGACAGAUGAAUGGACUAAAAAGAUGUGGUGCAUAUACACAAUAGAAUACUACUCAGCCAUAAAAAAGAACAAAAUAAUGUCAUUUGCAGUAACAUGGAUGGAACUAGAGACUCUCAUACUAAGGGAAGUAAGUCAGAAAGAGAGACAAAUACCAUAGGAUAUCACUUACAUCUGGAAUCUAAUAUAUGGCACAAAUGAACCCUCCCACAGAAAAGAAACAAACUCAUUGACAUGGACAACAGACUUGUGGUUGCCAAGAAAGAGGGGGAAGGAGUGGGAGGGACAGGAAGUUUGGGAUUAGUAGAUGCAAACUAUUGCAUUUGGAAUGGAUAAAUAAGAGAUUCUGCUAUAUAGUCCGGGGACUAUACCUGAUCACUUGUGACAGAACAUGUUGGAGGAUAAUGUGAAGAAAAGAAUGUAUAUAUAUAUGUAUAACUGAGCCACUUUGCUGUACAGCAGAAAUUGACAACACUGUAAAUCAAGUAUAAUAAAAAAAUUUAAAAAAACACUGCUACAUAGUAUAUAAGUAAAUUGUUAAGAGAGUAGAUCCUAAGAGUUCUCAUCACAAGGAAUUUUUAAAAAUUUUUAAAAAUUGUACCUAUAUGAGUUGACGGAUGUUAACUAAACCUAUAUGGUAAUCAUGUCACAAUACAAGUAAAUCAAACCAUCAUGCGAUACACCUUAAACCUAAUACAUAUUGCAUAUCAAUUAUUUCUCAAUAAAACCAGAAGGUAAAAAGUAAAAAAGAAAAUCUGAAUAAAGUAUAGACUUUAGUUAAUAAUAAUAUAUCAACAUUAUUUCAUUAAUUAUAACAAGUGUACCCACACUAAUGUAAGAUGUUACUAAUAGAGAAAACGAUUCCAAUUCUGAUAUGUGAAUUCUCUUUACUAUCACUGCAAAAUAUAAACUUUUCUGUAAAUCUAAUACUACUAUAAAAUAUAAAGCUUAUUAUAAAAAGAAAAUGCUGGUUAUGAAUACAGGUUACAGAUGUGUGGCUAGGGAUUAGGAAAGGGGCUAAUAUGGAGAGAGGAGGUAGAGAACAAAGGUGUUGAUGAAAGAACAAGCACGAUGGAGUUCCCGUUGUGGCUCAGAGGUUAACGAACCCAACUAGCAUCCAUGAGGAUGCAGGUUUGAUCCCUGGCCUCACUCAGUGGGUUAAGGAUCCAGCAUUGCCAUGAGCUGUGGUGUAGGUCAUAGACGUGGCUCAGAUCCUGCGUUGCUGCGGCUCUGGUGUAGGCCAGCAGCCACAGCUCAGAUUGGACCCCUAGCCUGGGAACUUCCAUAGGCCUCAGGUGCGGCCCUGAAAAAGACAAAUAGAUAAAAAAAAAAAAAAAGAUAUAAUCCUAUAUAUAAUUUAUUUGGGUAUUUAUAUUUUAUGCAUGAAUGCUUAAAAGAAUAACCAGUAUUGAAUGCUUAAAAGAAUAACUAGCAUUUUAACCUCAGGAUUAUGGGUGGGGUUUAUUUCCUUCUUUAUAUAUUUAUAUAAUAAAUAAAUGAGCAUUUUUUCAUACAAUCAGAAAAAAAAUGCAUUUUCAUUGUAGAAAAAAGCAAAAAACAAGUGACUUACAAUAGUAACAAAAGAUAUAAGAAAUCUAGGAAUAAAUUCCACAAAAGUGUAACAAGAUCUUUAUGGAGUAAAUAAAUGGAGCAUUAUACAAUAUUAAUGGAUUAGAGGUUUCAGUAUAAUAAACAUAGAAAUCCCCCAAAUUAACUUAUAAAUUCAAAGCAAUUCUCAUAUAACUCAAGAGGAUUUUUCACAGAACUUGACAAAUUGAUCCUUGAAUUCACAUAUAAGAGUAAAAGGCACAGAAUAGCCAAGACAAUUUAGAAGAUGAAUAAGGAGAAAGAACCACCCGUCAGAUAUCAAGAUAUUAUGAGUCUGCAAUAAUUACAACAGUCUGGUAUUGCACAGAGGCAGAUAAUACAUAACUGAAACAGACUAAGAGAAUGGAGAUACACCCACAGAUAUUGAGGAACUUGUUGAGUGACAGAGGUGACAAUAUACAUUAGUGGGGAGGACAAGAUAACAAUCAAACAUGGGUUGCUGGCCUCCUUUCAAAACCUACCCUAGAAAUGCUAAGGAAGGGACAGGCAAGUUAAUGAAUAACAGAAUAUUAAAGCCAAGAAACUUCCAGGAAGAUAGGAAGUGGCUGCAUUCCAAAUGCAUAUGGGAAAUGGCAGCCUGGAAUAGAAGGAUGGGUUGCAGGAGUACAAUCUCAUUAUAUUUUCUUCCUUCCUCCACCCUGUCCUAGGUGAGUCACUGCUUACCUCAUCACCUCUGUUGGGCAGAAGAACACCACCACAGUGCCAUUAGAUUUAUGUAUGUUAUGGCAGAGCUGGAAUCUGGCUGGUGGGGAGUGGGUAACAACAGGUGCAGAUCAACAUCCUGACCCCUGAGCAGUCCUAAUUCCUAUCCCAAUC